rnacentral:rRNA from 1 species
GACGAACGCUGGCGGCGUGCUUAACACAUGCAAGUCGAACGCUGAAGCACCAGCUUGCUGGUGUGGAUGAGUGGCGAACGGGUGAGUAAUACGUGAGUAACCUGCCCUUGACUCUGGGAUAAGCCCGGGAAACUGGGUCUAAUACUGGAUGCUACAUGUCACCGCAUGGUGGUGUGUGGAAAGGGUUUACUGGUCUUGGAUGGGCUCACGGCCUAUCAGCUUGUUGGUGAGGUAAUGGCUCACCAAGGCGACGACGGGUAGCCGGCCUGAGAGGGUGACCGGCCACACUGGGACUGAGACACGGCCCAGACUCCUACGGGAGGCAGCAGUGGGGAAUAUUGCACAAUGGGCGAAAGCCUGAUGCAGCGACGCCGCGUGAGGGAUGACGGCCUUCGGGUUGUAAACCUCUUUCCGCAGGGAAGAAGCCACAAGUGACAGUACCUGCAGAAGAAGCGCCGGCUAACUACGUG